CUAUUUUGGCAGAAAAUAUGCAUUAAAUUUAGGAUUUAAUUAUAUAGGAAACUAUAAAUAGUA
rnacentral:tRNA from 1 species